AGAACAUGCCAAAAGCCAAGCAUUUCAUCUGGCUUAAUUUUCCUCUUGCCUUUUUAAUGUAUUCCAGUGGGAUCUGGCAGUUGUCCUCCCUGUUGGGACUAAUGGCUCCAAAUCCAAGAUCAUUAGAACAGAAGACGGGUGGAGUUAAAAACAGGGAUGCCGAAACCCGAAGGACAUACUUUAACAGUUUGGGGUGGAAGGUGAAAAUCUCAGCAGGGUCAGCGUGA
rnacentral:lncRNA from 1 species